CGAGUGUAAGUGCACAAGGGAGCUUGACUGUGAGAGGGACACCUCGAGCAGGGACGAAAGUCGGGACUAGUGAUCUGACGGUGGCAUGUGGAAGCGCCGUCACUCAACGGAUAAAAGGUACCCCGGGGAUAACAGGCUGAUCUUCCCCAAGAGUCCAUAUCGACGGGAUGGUUUGGCACCUCGAUGUCGGCUCGUCGCAUCCUGGGGCUG
rnacentral:rRNA from 1 species